UGAAGAGUUUGAUCAUGGCUCAGAUUGAACGCUGGCGGCAGGCCUAACACAUGCAAGUCGAACGCGAAAGCACUUCGGUGUGAGUAGAGUGGCGGACGGGUGAGUAACGCGUGGGAAUCUACCUAGUAGUGGAGGAUAACUCGGGGAAACUCGAGCUAAUACUGCAUACGCCCUACGGGGGAAAGCGGGGGAUCUUCGGACCUCGUGCUAUUGGAUGAGCCCGCGUUAGAUUAGCUUGUUGGUGAGGUAAUGGCUCACCAAGGCGACGAUCUAUAGCUGGUCUGAGAGGAUGAUCAGCCACAUUGGGACUGAGACACGGCCCAAACUCCUACGGGAGGCAGCAGUGGGGAAUAUUGCGCAAUGGGCGAAAGCCUGACGCAGCCAUGCCGCGUGUGUGAAGAAGGCCUUCGGGUUGUAAAGCACUUUCAAUAGGG
rnacentral:rRNA from 1 species